rnacentral:rRNA from 1 species
UACGUAGGUGGCAAGCGUUGUCCGGAUUUACUGGGCGUAAAGAGCGCGCAGGCGGUCGAGUAAGUCGAAUGUGAAAGCCCCCGGCUCAACUGGGGAGGGUCAUUCGAUACUGAUCGACUUGAAGGCAGGAGAGGGUAGUGGAAUUCCCGGUGUAGUGGUGAAAUGCGUAGAUAUCGGGAGGAACACCAGUAGCGAAGGCGGCACUCUGGGCCGGUACUGACGCUGAGGAGCGAAAGCGUGGGGAGCGAACAGG